rnacentral:rRNA from 1 species
UACGUAGGGAGCGAGCGUUGUCCGGAAUCACUGGGCGUAAAGCGUCUGUAGGCGGCGGAGUAAGUCGUACGUGAAAGCCCCGGGCUCAACUCGGGUGAGUGCGUGCGAUACUGCUUUGCUUGAGUACCGGAGGGGAGAGCGGAACGGUGCAAGUAGCGGUGAAAUGCGUAGAUAUGCAUCGGAACACCGGUGGCGAAGGCGGCUCUCUGGACGGUCACUGACGCUGAGGGACGAAAGCCAGGGGAGCGAACGGG